GUGCUUUCCUUGUCAGUACAUGUGCUAAAAUUGGAAUGAUAGAGAGAAGGUUAAAAUGGCCUCUGAGCAAGUAUGACACACUAUUUCAUGAAGCAUUCCUUAUUUAA